rnacentral:sRNA from 1 species
AGUUUACCUUUUCAUCUGAUAUAGAAGAUGGGUUUAAAGAAUUUUCUUAUAUACAGUCUUGUUUUACUAACUGGAUUAAAAUUGACAAUUAGUGAAUUUGCGGGAAAUGCUAACUAUGAAGAACCAGGUAAGUGAUUCAGUGAAUCAGUAGAAGGAAAUGGUUUUAUAACACACAGUAGUCUUGUAGCCUUGCGUCAUCCCAGGAAUAUAAAGUAAUUUACCACACAGGACAGGUAGCCUUUUGUAAACAUGCAGUGUCGUCACACAGGUUGACAAAGUAAGGAGUGCAUGUGUGCAUUAGGCUGCACAAUUUAACUGUUAACAUUCUGACUGCAGUACAACUCCUUUCUCUUAUUUAAUUUAUUGAAAUACACCCAGUUUGCACUAUGUAUUUAAGAAUUGGACUAGAAUUCUUUUUUUGUAAAGAAAUAAUGAGAUUAUGAUAUUUAAUGAUUACACAAGAAGUAGACCCUAAGCAUAUUUUCUUUUGUUGUUUUUGGUUGUUGUUCAGCUUGGCUUUGAGUAUCUGUCUUUUUAAAAAGAAAAAUGACCCGCUAGAUAUAAUCCGAAGGUCAGUAUGGUUUCUGUGUACUUCAUAUUAGUAGGGAAGCUGCCAAGAUAGUUAAAUAGGUCUGAAAUUUAUUUCAUGAGAUUUAGCCCUUCGCAUUCAAGCCAUAUAAGACGUAUAGUUGGAUCAGAAUAGGAUAAUGACUGGUGUCUGUUUGUCAGAAAAUGAUAAUCUAUGGUUUUACUUCAACAGUCCCUGGUUACCUUUAGAAAUUAUAGAAUUAGUCUUUGAAAAACUAAUGUCAUUCCUUUGUGCAUUUGCUGCCCAAGAAACCAUUUAACACGUAUUGAUUUUCAAUAAAUUGAGCCUUCAUUUGGGAUACAAUUUCUGAGGAUAUGAAUUUGACAAAUGAGUUUAAAUAAGAUUUGGAAGUUCAGCUUUUACUCAACAUGCUAUUCAGAAAAUUAUCUUGAAGGACAACAUUAAAAUCUUUUUCAAAAAUUUACCACAUCCGUGUAAUUGGAGGCACGGUUAAAUUGCACUGAUUAUUCACAUUUCAAGCCAAGAGAGCUAUAGCAUUUAAUUUAUAUGAAAAAAGAGUAGAAAUUCAGGGAUAAUUAAGGAGCCAUCAUUUACAUGCUGCAUGCAUGUUGUAUCUUGAUUUUGUUUCGAUCUGCAAGAGAAAUGAACAUUGCCAUGCAAAACCAGUAAUUAUCUAAUGGUUUUAAUUAGAGC